GACGAACGCUGGCGGCGUGCCUAAUACAUGCAAGUUGAGCGAUGAAGCUUGGUGCUUGCCCCAAUUUGAAGAGCAGCGAACGGGUGAGUAACGCGUGGGGAAUCUGCCUUUGAGCGGGGGACAACAUUUGGAAACGAAUGCUAAUACCGCAUAACAACUUUAAACAUAAGUUUUAAGUUUGAAAGAUGCAAUUGCAUCACUCAAAGAUGAUCCCGCGUUGUAUUAGCUAGUUGGUGAGGUAAAGGCUCACCAAGGCGAUGAUACAUAGCCGACCUGAGAGGGUGAUCGGCCACAUUGGGACUGAGACACGGCCCAAACUCCUACGGGAGGCAGCAGUAGGGAAUCUUCGGCAAUGGACGAAAGUCUGACCGAGCAACGCCGCGUGAGUGAAGAAGGUUUUCGGAUCGUAAAACUCUGUUGGUAGAGAAGAACGUUGGUGAGAGUGGAAAGCUCAUCAAGUGACGGUAACUACCCAGAAAGGGACGGCUAACUACGU
rnacentral:rRNA from 1 species